UAUGGUUUUCCAUAGGCAAAGUGUCAGUGGCACAAGCUCAUUCUUGAAUUUUUGGCUGUUCAAGAAGAGAUUAAUGGCAAC
rnacentral:miRNA from 1 species